UACAGAGGUGGCAAGCGUUGUUCGGAAUUACUGGGCGUAAAGGGCGCGUAGGCGGCCUACUAAGUCAGACGUGAAAUCCCCCGGCUUAACCUGGGAACUGCGUCUGAUACUGGAAGGCUUGAGGAUGGGAGAGGGAUGUAGAAUUCCAGGUGUAGCGGUGAAAUGCGUAGAUAUCUGGAGGAAUACCGGUGGCGAAGGCGGCAUCCUGGACCAUUACUGACGCUGAGGAGCGAAAGCCAGGGGAGCAAACGGG
rnacentral:rRNA from 1 species